AGUGGAAAUCGUAGACCAUUUUAUUAUUAGUGCAUAUUGAGAAGAGAUUCUUAAUUGGAGUUAAUACAGAAUAAUCUGGAUUCUAGCUGAGUUCAUCAGCUGCUUGAUCAACAGCGGUUAGCGGUAAUGUCAUCGGGGGUCAAAUCAGCUGCAUUUCCUCAACAAUGUGACAUGUCUCUCUAAAUUUGCUAGUUACACACCUUAUCAGACGACCUCAUUCUAGAUAAUAAUAUUACAAACGUUUUCGAGACUAUCUUGAUUCAGAUUGCAGUGUGCAUUUUGUCAGCCAGCCUUGUGGCUGUAGUGAGUGCCGAUCUAUCAUCUUUUCGAGUUCCUCGGGCUGGAAAUACAGAAGAUUCAGGCCCAGUCAACUAUGAAUUCGCCUAUGAAGUGAAAGACGCUCCAUCUAAUAAUGACUUUGGUCACAUGGAGAGUAGGAAUGGAGAAGUAGCCAAGGGUUCCUACCACGUUCUUCUUCCUGAUGGCAGAACUCAAAGAGUUGACUAUACUGCUGAUGAAAAUGGAUAUGUGCCUAAGAUAAACUAUGAUGGUUCACCUUCAGGAGCUAGCUACAGAUUCUAAUCGAUCGAUACUUCCAUCAGACUGGAGCUCUCUUCUGGGUCAGACUUCUUCGAAUGAGAAAAGUCUACUUCAUCUAUCGGUAAACCGUUACAACUCAAACUUACUAACAAAGCUCCUAAUAUUGUGCUCAUUAUGAUUAAAUUACUUGAAUAAACCAUUGUGAAAAAAAA
rnacentral:misc_RNA from 1 species